rnacentral:rRNA from 1 species
GCUCGAGUGGCGAACGGGUGAGUAACACGUGAGUAACCUGCCCUUGACUUUGGGAUAACUUCAGGAAACUGGGGCUAAUACCGGAUAGGAGCUCCUGCUGCAUGGUGGGUGUUGGAAAGUUUCGGCGGUUGGGGAUGGACUCGCGGCUUAUCAGCUUGUUGGUGGGGUAGUGGCUUACCAAGGCUUUGACGGGUAGCCGGCCUGAGAGGGUGACCGGCCACAUUGGGACUGAGAUACGGCCCAG